CCUUCUAUAAAAAAACCUAAGACACCCUAAAUUCUCCCUGGCUGAAGAAGAACGGCGACCUCCUCCUUUUUACAACCAGAAAAAACCAGUCGCCUCUCUCCUCUUCUUCUUCUUUUCUCUCAAGAGGCCACCUGAUUCUACCUCCCUCCUCAAAUUAGCUUCACAAAAAUCAGGAUUUUUGAGAAAAAUCUCGUUAUCUGUGAUUUGUUGGACGAAUCCAGUUGGUUUUCAAGGUCAAAUCGAGUUCUUAAGGGGCUAUUUGUUGCUGCUGUUGCCGAUUGUUGAGUAGCUGCGCCCCAUUCCUCAUUCUAGACCUUUAUUUGGUCAUCCACUACUGUACUGCUAUCAUUAGAAACCAAAAGGGGUUAUUUAGGCUUGAGAUGUAAACUUUUGUCAGAUGGCCGGUAAGGGUCGAGGUAGGUCUAGAAAGGAUAAAAGGCCUAUUGAUCAUGAUGGUGGUGCUACACCCACGCUUUCUUCCACUCCACACUUGCAUCCCUCUGCUGUUGAUGGCCGGCAGCAAUCUUCUAGGCACAAAUCUAUUCCACCACAUCCAUCUACUCAUCUUACUACCCACCAUUCGCCCGCCCAGCAGUAUUAUCACCAUUCUCCGCCACAGGGCUAUACCCUACUUCCUCCUCAUGAUCCUACCAGUACUAACAUGGGUGCAUCGAGUCACCAGUCACAGAGCCAUGUGGUACGCCUGUCAUCUGCUCCAUUUGCUUCAUCUCCAGCUGGAUCACAUUUAUCUAGAUUUCAGUUGUCUGGAUCGCAGUAGGGGUCUAGAUCGAUGCAGGGGUGUGGAUCGCAGCCAUCUUCAUCAGGGACCUCGUCUCCCUCUCCACGGAGUUCGUCUCCUAGCAUUUCUAGAUUUCGUUUUCAGGAAAGUAGCACUGAACCAGAUGCCCCCUUUCUGCGCACGCUUCAGAUUCAUUGGAGGAUGAUGAUCCAGAUGAUGUGCGUUAUGAUCGUUAUCAUAGGAUCAUCAUCAGGCCUGAAGGCAAUGGGUUACAAAGAUAAUCACUGAUAUUCUUGGCGGGUUGUAUAAUGCACCCUAUCUGACUUGGAGUGACUUUCCAGAUGAUCUCGUGCAACAGAUGUUCAACCAAUUUAAGACUAAGUGUGCCUUGUCCGGUAUAACCGUGAAAUUUGUAUAAAUUGUGAGUACAAAUGUCGUAAGAGACACUUUGAUUCCUUCAGCUCCGCUCGAAAGGUUAAAAAGAAGCUUUCAUAGGUUCUACCAGAUGUAUGGGUGGAUCUGCAGAGGUAUUGGGCCACCGAGAAAUUCGAGUAGCAGAGUGAACUGGAAAAGAAGGCUCGAGCAUCUGAGAAGGGUGGCUCCUUGCAUUGUCUGGGUUCAAGGAGCAUGGGGGAUACGAGGAGACAACUGGAAAAAAAGCAUGGGAGGAAGAUGAGUCAUGAUGAGUUCUUCAUGGAGACUCAUAUCCGGAGGAAGAAGGCACCGACAGAUCCAACUAGAUGGGUCGAGGACCAGGCGGAGACUACACAUUGUCGGUACAAGAUUAAUUUGGAGGAGUACACUCAGAGCUUGCCACCGAAUGAGCAAGGCGAGCGACCGCCCAUUUUAGACGAAGAAGCACAGAGGAUAUGGGUGGAUGUUGUCGGUCUUAAAAAGGGGAUAACAUACGGCCUUCCAGAUAAAUAAUUUCGGCGCUAAAGGGCUGGAUUGUAAGGUAUAGGGACUUCUGCCCAAGGCAAGGUGAUUGAUAGGUCGACUAUGUUGUCUAUGGAAUAGAAAAUCGCAAAGCUGACAGCAAAGCUUGAAGAGACAAAGGCUAGAGAAAAAACGAGAGAUGAACAAUUUGGUACCCUUCAAUUUCAGCUAGAAAGGAAGGACGGACAAUUUAAUCUCCUUCAAGGUCAGCUAGCCAAUCUUCUUGCUAGUGGUGCUUUCCCCAUUCCCCGGUCUCGUGAGCCUUCCCCAUGUGCCGACGAUGAAGGUUCUAGGAGUGAAGAUGGAGAUGAUGCUAGAUAAAAAAACUCAUUGAAUGGUGUGUAUUGCUAAACAAAGUAUUGAACUUGUCAAUAUUUAGUUGAGACUAGUUUUGAAUGAUGAUUAUAUUGUUAUUUUGUUAUUGAACAUUUUAGUAGUUGUUGUUGUGGUUGUUAUUA